ACGUAGGACGCAAGCGUUAUCCGGAAUUACUGGGCGUAAAGGGCGUGUAGGCGGCACGGUAAGUCAACCGUGAAAGCUCCCGGCUAAACUGGGAGAGGUCGGAUGAGACUGCCGAGCUAGAGGGUCGUAGAGGGGUGUGGAAUUCCGGGUGUAGUGGUGAAAUGCGUAGAGAUCCGGAGGAACCCCGGUGGCGAAGGCGGCUUUCUGGCCCGUAACUGACACUGAGGCGCGAAAGCGUGGGGAGCGAACGG
rnacentral:rRNA from 1 species